rnacentral:rRNA from 1 species
CCUACGGGAGGCUGCAGUGGGGAAUAUUGGACAAUGGGCGAAAGCCUGAUCCAGCCAUGCCGCGUGUGUGAAGAAGGCCUUCGGGUUGUAAAGCACUUUCAGUGGGGAAGAAAGCCUUGGGGCUAAUACCCUCGAGGAAGGACAUCACCCACAGAAGAAGCACCGGCUAACUCCGUGCCAGCAGCCGCGGUAAUACGGAGGGUGCGAGCGUUAAUCGGAAUUACUGGGCGUAAAGCGCGCGUAGGCGGUCUGAUAAGCCGGUUGUGAAAGCCCCGGGCUCAACCUGGGAACGGCAUCCGGAACUGUCAGGCUAGAGUGCAGGAGAGGAAGGUAGAAUUCCCGGUGUAGCGGUGAAAUGCGGAGAGAUCGGGAGGAAUACCAGUGGCGAAGGCGGCCUUCUGGACUGACACUGACGCUGAGGUGCGAAAGCGUGGGUAGCAAACAGGAUUAGAUACCCUUGUAGUC